GUGUUCACCACGCAUGCGUAUGGAUGGUAGCGUUUCCUCAAGCGCAUGCGAGAAGGCAUUUCCAAAGGCAAAAUGUAGCUGCGUGGACUUUUUAAAACCUUUUACCUUCUUUAGAAGAUGAGAUUUAACAAGUUAGUUCGUUCCAAGAUUUUUCUAUCAAGAAUGUGCCAGUAUUUCUUUUUACUUUAAUAAAUCUCUUGAACCUAAA